rnacentral:rRNA from 1 species
GAGUUUGAUCAUGGCUCAGAACGUACGCUGGCGGCACGCCUAACACAUGCAAGUCGAACGAAGUAGCAAUACUUAGUGGCAGACGGGUGAGUAACAUGUAGGUAUCUGCCCUUUGGCCUGGAAUAACACGAGGAAACUUGUGCUAAUACCGGAUAAGUCUUUACGGAGAAAGCUUUAUGCACCAUUGGAUGAGCCUGCACUUGAUUAGUUUGUUGGUGGGGUAAUGGCCUACCAAGACUGUGAUCAAUAGCUGAUUUGAGAGGAUGAUCAGCCACAUUGGGACUGAGACACGGCCCAAACUCCUACGGGAGGCAGCAGUGGGGAAUCUUGCACAAUGGAGGAAACUCUGAUGCAGCGAUGCCGCGUGAGUGAAGAAGGCCCUUGGGUUGUAAAGCUCUUUCGUCGGGGAAGAAAAUGACUGUACCCGAAUAAGAAGGUCCGGCUAACUUCGUGCCAGCAGCCGCGGUAAUACGAAGGGACCUAGCGUAGUUCGGAAUUAUUGGGCUUAAAGAGUUCGUAGGUGGUUGAAAUAGUUGGUGGUGAAAUCCCAGAGCUUAACUCUGGAACUGCCAUCAAAACUUUUCAGCUAGAGUGUGAUAGAGGUAAGUGGAAUUUCUAGUGUAGAGGUGAAAUUCGUAGAUAUUAGAAAGAACACCAAAUGCGAAGGCAACUUACUGGGUCACUACUGACACUGAGGAGCGAAAGCAUGGGUAGCGAAGAGGAUUAGAUACCCUCGUAGUCCAUGCCGUAAACGAUGUGUGCUAGACGUUGGAAAUAUAUUUUCAGUGUCGCAGGGAAACCGAUAAACACACCGCCUGGGGAGUACGACCGCAAGGUUAAAACUCAAAUGAAUUGACGGGGACCCGCACAAGUAGUGGAGCAUGUGGUUUAAUUCGAAGAUACGCGCAGAACCUUACCAACACUUGACAUGUUCGUCGCGACUCUAAGAGAUUAGAGUUUUCGGUUCGGCCGGACGAAACACAGGUGCUGCAUGGCUGUCGUCAGCUCGUGUCGUGAGAUGUUGGGUUAAGUCCCGCAACGAGCGCAACCCUCACUUUUAGUUGCCAUCAUUAAGUUGGGCACUCUGAAAGAACUGCCAGUGAUAAGCUGGAGGAAGGUGGGGAUGACGUCAAGUCCUCAUGGCCCUUACGGGUUGGGCUACACACGUGCUACAAUGGCAGUGACAAUGGGUUAAUCCCAAAAAGCUGUCUCAGUUCGGAUUGGGGUCUGCAACUCGACCCCAUGAAGUCGGAAUCGCUAGUAAUCGCGUAACAGCAUGACGCGGUGAAUACGUUCCCGGGCCUUGUACACACCGCCCGUCACACCAUGGGAGUUGGUUCUACCCGACGACGCUGCGCUAACCCUUCGGGGAGGCAGGCGGCCACGGUAGGAUCAGCGACUGGGGUGAAGUCGUAACAAGGUAACC